ncrna:Oryza sativa miR444e stem-loop (osa-MIR444e)
GGGGCAAUAAGCUAGAGGCACCAACUGCAUAACUUGCGAGAAACUUGUUGGAUGAUGAUCUUGCCAAUGAUUUUGCCGCAAGUUAUGCAGUUGCUGCCUCAAGCUUACUGCCUUU